CUUCUUACCAGUACACUUGGUACAAUCAAAAACCUGAUAAUAAAUUGUUCAAAUAAGGCCUUCGAAAAUAGUGGAAUUAAUUACUUUUGGAGUGUCAAAAACUCGUUGGAAGUACUUGAUAAAUUGCAUGCUUAUAUUGGUGAUUUUGAAUCUGUUCAAAGUUUUGAUUUUUCUACCCUAUAAACCACAUUGCCUCACAUUCUCAUUAAGAAAAAAAUC
rnacentral:lncRNA from 1 species